GGUGAACGCUGGCGGCGUGCUUGACACAUGCAAGUCGAACGGUAUGUGGCAACACAUAGAGUGGCGAACGGGUGAGUAACACGUGGGAACGUACCUUCUGCAGGGGGAUAACUGACCGAAAGGACAGCUAAUACCGCAUAAGACCGAGAGGAGAAAGGUGCAACAGCAUCGGCAGAGGAGCGGCCCGCGGACCAUCAGCUAGUUGGUGGGGUAAGAGCCUACCAAGGCAACGACGGAUAGCCGGCGUGAGAGCGUGGCCGGCCACAAGGACACUGAGAUACGGGUCCUACUCCUACGGGAGGCAGCAGUGCGGAAUUUUAGAUAAUGGAGGCAACUCUGAUCUAGCGACGCCGCGUGCAGGAAGAAGGUCUUCGGAUUGUAAACUGCUGUGGUAAGGGAAAAAUGCCAUGUAGAGUGGAAAGCUACAUGGAGGGAUGGUACUUUACUAGAAAGCCCCGGCUAACUACGUGCCAGCAGCCGCGGUAAUACGUAGGGGGCGAGCGUUACCCGGAAUCACUGGGCGUAAAGGGAGCGUAGGUGGCCUGACAUGUCGACUGUGAAAACCCGGAGCUCAACUCCGGACUUGCAGUUGAAACUGCCAGGCUUGAGGACGGUAGAGGAAGACGGAACUGCCAGUGUAGGGGUAAAAUCCUUAGAUAUUGGCAGGAACGCCGGUGACGAAGGUGGUUUUCUGGGCCGGUUCUGACACUGAUGCUCGAAAGCCAGGGGAGCGAACGGGAUUAGAUACCCCGGUAGUCCUGGCCCUAAACGAUGUUCACUAGGUGUGGGGAGCGGAAAGCUUUCCGUGCUAAAGCUAACGCGAUAAGUGAACCGCCUGGGGAGUACGCCCGCAAGGGUGAAACUCAAAGGAAUUGACGGGGGCCCGCACAAGCGGUGGAGCGUGUGGUUUAAUUCGAUGCUAAGCGAAGGACCUUACCAA
rnacentral:rRNA from 1 species